UACAUGGGUUGCAAACGUUGCUCGGAAUUAUUGGGCGUAAAGCGCACGUAGGCGGUCCGUUAAGUCGGAUGUGAAAUCCCCCGGCUCAACCGGGGAAGUGCAUCCGAAACUGGCGGGCUAGAGUACGAAAGAGGGUCGCGGAAUUCCCGGUGUAGAGGUGAAAUUCGUAGAUAUCGGGAGGAACACCGGUGGCGAAGGCGGCGACCUGGGUCGAUACUGACGCUGAGGUGCGAAAGCGUGGGGAGCAAACAGG
rnacentral:rRNA from 1 species